rnacentral:rRNA from 1 species
CGUGUAGGCGGCUUGACAAGUCAGAUGUGAAAUCCCUGGGCUUAACCCAGGAAGUACAUUUGAAACUGUUUGGCUGGAGUAAGGGAGAGGAAAGUGGAAUUCCUGGUGUAGAGGUGAAAUUCGUAGAUAUCAGGAGGAACACCGGUGGCGAAGGCGACUUUCUGGCCCUAUACUGACGCUGAGACGCGAAAGCGUGGGUAGCAAACA